ensembl:lncRNA
GCUAUUUCAUCUUUUGUGUGUUGGUAUAUGUAAAUAAAAACACCUAUCACAUCAUGGGUAGAAGUUUUGCUUUGAUAAUAGGGAUUCUGAUACACUUUAAUAAUUCAGGUUUUCUCUGGAAUUGUAUUCAAAAGUCAAUAGUGACUUCUCUGGUUGUCCAGUGGUUAAGAAUCCACCUUCCAAUGCAGGGGACACAGGUUUGAUCCCUGGUUGGGGGACUGAGGUCCCUCAUGCCUCAAGGCAGCUAAGCCUGCACCACAACCACUGAGCCUAAAGUAUGCUAGAGCCCACGAGUCACAGCUAAGACCAGCUGCAGUCUAAUUAAUUAAAAAAAGAUCAAUACAUUAAAAGGUUUAGGCAGGUAUGCCACUUAAAUUAUAUUCUUAUUUCUGAUUUUCUAGAUAAUUACUACAAGUGAAGUAUUGGAGUCCAUUGUAGGUCAUUAAAACAUUCAUGCUGUUUGUAGAUCAAAUCUAACAUUUCUAUCACUUUAUCAGUUGUAUCUAAUAUUCCUUGCACCUAAAUUAAGUUUUAGAGAUUGAAAGUAUCUUUUAAGACAUUUACUUAAAACACUUCUCUACAUUUAUCAUCCUAUGUUAUAUAUACAGUUCUAAUGAGACAUUGUUUGCUUCAAUUCUCUCUUACCUUUUCCUGCCAGAUUUUAACCAGUGCUAUUAACUUAUUCAUACCAUCUAGCCAUGUGUAACAGAAAAGGGAAAUGAGGACCUGUUAACUGCAUUCUGUGCCAGGUGCUGAACUAAACCCUGAUUGGUAACACUGUUGAUGCCUCACAACUCUGAGGUCUAGGGGUUGUUAAAAAGACAGUAAAGAAAAGAGAAUAAGUUGCUUCCUAAGAUUGCAUAGGUGGUAAUAAUAGAGUCAGGAUUUAAACUCAGGACUUCAGGUGCCACUACCAAUGAUACUUCCUUACUGGCUGCUGCUGCUGCUGCUAAGUCGCUUCAGUGGUGUCUGACUCUGUGUGACCCCAUGGACAGCAGCCCACCAGGCUCCCCCAUCCCUGGGAUUCUCCAGGCAAGAACACAAAUGGGUUGCCAUUUCCUUCUCCAAUGCAUAAAAGUGAAAGUGAAGUUGCUCAGUCAUGUCCGACUCUUCACAACCCCGUGGACUGCAGCCUACCAGGCUCCUCCGCCCAUGGGAUUUUCCAGGCAAGAGUACUGGAGUGGGUUCCCAUUGCCUUCUCCUCCUUACUGGCAGUGGUUCUCCAAGUGAGGUCUCUGGACAAAAGUAUCAGCAUUACCUGGGAAUUUGCUAGAAAAGCAAAUUCUUGGGCUCCACCCUAGGAGUCAGACAUUUAGUAGGGCACCCAGAAAUAAGUUUUAAAUAAUCCUUCCAGGUAACUGAUGCACACUGAAGUUUGAGAAUCACUGUUGUAUGCCAAUAGAAAAAAAAAAAAGCUAUGGCAUUUAAACCUAGACUCUCAAUUAUUACAUCCAGGCAUUGCUCCAGCCCAUAUAAGAAUCUCACUCAGGCCUUUUUGGAGCCCCA